UACGUAGGUGGCGAGCGUUGUCCGGAAUUACUGGGCGUAAAGGAUGCGUAGGCGGACAUUUAAGUCAGAUGUGAAACCCCCAGGCUUAACUUGGGGACUGCAUUUGAAACUGGAUGUCUGGAGUGCAGGAGAGGUAAGUGGAAUUCCUAGUGUAGCGGUGAAAUGCGUAGAGAUUAGGAAGAACACCAGUGGCGAAGGCGACUUACUGGACUGUAACUGACGCUGAGGCAUGAAAGCGUGGGUAGCAAACAGG
rnacentral:rRNA from 1 species